UACAGAGGUCUCAAGCGUUGUUCGGAUUCAUUGGGCGUAAAGGGUGCGUAGGUGGCGGGGUUAGUCAGGUGUGAAAUCUCGGGGCUCAACCCCGAAACUGCACUUGAUACUGCCUUGCUAGAGUACUGGAGAGGAGAUUGGAAUUUACGGUGUAGCAGUGAAAUGCGUAGAUAUCGUAAGGAAGACCAGUGGCGAAGGCGAAUCUCUGGACAGUUACUGACACUGAGGCACGAAGGCCAGGGGAGCAAACAGG
rnacentral:rRNA from 1 species